GUGGAGGGAAAAUCUGGGGAACUGAAGCUGUAGGAUGUACCCGCAGAUAGAAGGGCCAGGGUCUGUCGUUUCCAUUUAGGACACAAAUAUUGAGCACCUACUACAGUCAUUUGUUCCAGACUCAAACAGUACAGCAGUGAAUGAGCCAAAGUUCCUGCCCCCUGGAGUUAGCAGUCUAGGAUAGAAAACCGGCAAUAAACAAACACAUACAUAAUAUUUUUUUAAUCUUCCCAACAACCCUAAGAGGUAGUGUUAUUAUUUCCAUAUUACAGAUGAAGAAAUUGAGUCUAGGCACAAAUCAGAGUCCACCCCAGACUGUUAUCUUAAGAGCAGGACUGUGUGACUUUGCGUAAGGCAAGUUAGAAUGUCUCUCAGCCCCGUUUUCUUCAUCUGUAAAAUGGGGAUAAGAAUGAUAACACAGCAGCAUCCCACUAAGCUUGUGGGAACAGCUGGCCUAGGCACUGAACAGGACAGAACAACUCUGAAUGUUCUUUGACUAUGCAGCUGUUGUUGUUAUUGUUGUUGCUGUUAUUAUAUGCCCUGCGGGGACCAAACCCCUAACCCCAAAUUGUGGUGACUGACCCUGGGGCAGCUGCCUGUGGAAACAAGCUGAGACGCGCAGCACCAGGCCCAGCCCUGAAAUGACUGCUUCCUGGGCGGCCCUACCUCGAUGUCAGUCGGCAACUAUGAAUUGAGCACCAAGCACUCGGUGUGGGGGGGAAAGACCAACCGCAGCUGCCAUCCAGUUAGGGAGAAGGAGACAGACAGACAAACAUCCUUAUAAUUACAGAGGUGUGCUGACAGGAGGAUCGGGUACCAGGUUGACCACUGGGUCUUGGACCAAGUUUUUUCCCAGCCCUGGAGACAGAAUCCAUUUCACUGUCUCCCUGCAGAAACACUUGUGUUUAUUUUUAUUACGGUAUACUGUUUGCCAAUAAAAGCAACAAUCAAUACCAGCCGGAAGGAGACUAUACAGAGAGGAACAAUAAUAUAGUGUUUUAGGAGGAGGCCUGGUGGCAGAGACCUGAUUCAACUAAGCCCUGUUAGCAGGGGUAGAGGAUACUGUGUGCUAGGCCAGCCUGAAGCGACCCCUUGCAGAUGCCUCACUUCAUAUUCCAUAGUGAGUGUCCAGCCUGCCAGUUUUCCAGAAAACAGGAGACUCAGAUGGGCACUGGCCAGCACAG
rnacentral:lncRNA from 1 species